GAUUGAUCCCCGUCUGCUGAUUUAAAUUGAUGGUCUGACAUAAAUAUUGUUGUGUGGAUUUACACUAAAACACGAAAGAGCCUGAACCGCGACCAUGUCACAAGUUGCCUUACAUCGGAAUCAGUAAAGCCAACUCCGACUAUAGUUUUUCAUGAAGCUUCAAACCCCCUCCAUGCAAAAAGAGCUAGCAUCAAUAUGGAGGGUGUCAACAUUGUGAGCGCAGAAAUGGAUGUGAUGGAGGCAAUACUUCAUAUUCAGUGUAGAAUACCCCAAGCACAUCACUCACAUGAUGAAUUGUGUUGAGCAAUACCUGUUUAAACUCUCCAGAAGCCCCCCCCCCAAAAAAAACGGUCUAUCCCAGUGCUCAAAAUGUAUAAUCAAUUAUCAUAAUACUUUUAUAUUUCGUGAAUAGUGCUUAUGUUAAUUUGUAAAUAUGAGGCGUUUGAUGUUAUUCUGAAAUGCUGAUCUGAAUUUGAAUCUGUAAUUACAAUUCUUUAUGAGUUAUAUUAAUAUGGAUUUGUAGUUUUGAGGUACUUGAUGUUGUUCUAACCCUGAUGGGAAUUUAGAUGAAUCUGUAUAUUUGCAUUAUUUAUUAGUCAUAGAUUAAUGUAAUUUUAUAAUGGACUUAUUUUGUAAUAUGUAGAUGUAGGUGAAACUAUUUUCAUUAUGAGAUUUU